CAUGAUGACGUCCUCGCCCUGUUUCCAGUCGGCAGGGGUUGCGACGCGGUGCUUGGCCGUCAGUUGCACCGAGUCGAUCACGCGAAGGAUCUCGUCGAAGUUGCGUCCGGUGGUCAUCGGAUAGACCCGAANNUCUUGUCCGGGCCGAUGAUGAACACCGUGCGCACCGUGGCGUUGUCGGCAGCAGUGCGGCUGUUGGCGUCGCCCGACGUGCUUGCGGGCAGCAUGUUGUAGAG
rnacentral:misc_RNA from 1 species